AGGAGAAGGAAGCUUGCUUCUUUCGAAUCUAGUGGCAAACGGGUGAGUAACACGUAAACAACCUGCCUUCAGGAUGGGGACAACAGACGGAAACGACUGCUAAUACCGCAUAAGCCCACAGGUCGGCAUCGACCAGAGGGAAAAGGAGCAAUCCGCUUUGAGAUGGCCUCGCGUCCGAUUAGCUAGUUGGUGAGGUAAUGGCCCACCAAGGCGACGAUCGGUAGCCGGACUGAGAGGUUGAACGGCCACACUGGAACUGAGACACGGUCCAGACUCC
rnacentral:rRNA from 1 species